UACGUAGGGUCCGAGCGUUGUCCGGAAUUAUUGGGCGUAAAGAGCUCGUAGGCGGUUUGUCGCGUCUGCCGUGAAAGUCCGGGGCUCAACUCCGGAUCUGCGGUGGGUACGGGCAGACUAGAGUGAUGUAGGGGAGACUGGAAUUCCUGGUGUAGCGGUGAAAUGCGCAGAUAUCAGGAGGAACACCGAUGGCGAAGGCAGGUCUCUGGGCAUUAACUGACGCUGAGACGCGAAAGCGUGGGGAGCAAACAGG
rnacentral:rRNA from 1 species